rnacentral:rRNA from 1 species
GUGCAGCAGUCGAGAAUAGUCUACAAUGGACGAAAGUCUGAUAGUGCGACGCCGUGUGUGCGAUUAAUUCCUUCGGGAUGUAAAGCACUUUUCUAUGAGAUAAAAGCUCUUUAGGUUAAUAGCUUAUUGAGACGGAUAUUAUUAUAGGAAUAAGCUCCGGCUAACUCCGUGCCAGCAGCCGCGGUAAUACGGAAGGAGCGAGCGUUGUCCGGAUUUACUAGGCGUAAAGGGCUAGUAGGCGACUAAUUAAGUUAUAUGUUAAAUCCCACGGCUCAACUGUGGUCCUGCAUGUAAUACUGGUUAGAUAGAGUACUGUAGAGGAAGGCAGAAUUCCUGGAGUAGCGGUGGAAUGCGCAGAUAUCAGGAAGAAUACCAAAAGCGAAGGCAGCCUUCUGGGCAGUUACUGACGCUGAAUAGCGAAGGUGUGGGUAGCGAACAGGAUUAGAUACCCGCGUAG